rnacentral:rRNA from 1 species
AGGAACCCAAUAAUACUGUCGAGUCGAGCGGACAGAUGGGAGCUUGCUCCCUGAUGUUAGCGGCGGACGGGUGAGUAACACGUGGGUAACCUGCCUGUAAGACUGGGAUAACUCCGGGAAACCGGGGCUAAUACCGGAUGGUUGUUUGAACCGCAUGGUUCAAACAUAAAAGGUGGCUUCGGCUACCACUUACAGAUGGACCCGCGGCGCAUUAGCUAGUUGGUGAGGUAACGGCUCACCAAGGCAACGAUGCGUAGCCGACCUGAGAGGGUGAUCGGCCACACUGGGACUGAGACACGGCCCAGACUCCUACGGGAGGCAGCAGUAGGGAAUCUUCCGCAAUGGACGAAAGUCUGACGGAGCAACGCCGCGUGAGUGAUGAAGGUUUUCGGAUCGUAAAGCUCUGUUGUUAGGGAAGAACAAGUACCGUUCGAAUAGGGCGGUACCUUGACGGUACCUAACCAGAAAGCCACGGCUAACUACGUGCCAGCAGCCGCGGUAAUACGUAGGUGGCAAGCGUUGUCCGGAAUUAUUGGGCGUAAAGGGCUCGCAGGCGGUUUCUUAAGUCUGAUGUGAAAGCCCCCGGCUCAACCGGGGAGGGUCAUUGGAAACUGGGGAACUUGAGUGCAGAAGAGGAGAGUGGAAUUCCACGUGUAGCGGUGAAAUGCGUAGAGAUGUGGAGGAACACCAGUGGCGAAAGGCGACUCUCUGGUCUGUAACUGACGCUGAGGAGCGAAAGCGUGGGGAGCGACAGAUUAGAUACCCUGGUAGUCCACGCCGUAAACGAUGAGUGCUAAGUGUUAGGGGGUUUCCGCCCCCUUUAGUGCUGCAGCCU